rnacentral:tRNA from 1 species
UGGCGCAGUUGGUAGAGCAUGGUGUUUGCAAUGCCAGGAUUGUGGGUUCAAUUCCCAC